AGCGAACGCUGGCGGCAGGCCUAACACAUGCAAGUCGAACGAACUCUUCGGAGUUAGUGGCGGACGGGUGAGUAACACGUGGGAACGUGCCUUUUGGUUCGGAAUAACUCAGGGAAACUUGUGCUAAUACCGAAUGUGCCCUUCGGGGGAAAGAUUUAUCGCCAUUAGAGCGGCCCGCGUCUGAUUAGCUAGUUGGUGAGGUAACGGCUAAGCAAGGCGACGAUCAUUAGCUGGUCUGAGAGGAUGACCAGCCACACUGGGACUGAGACACGGCCCAGACUCCGACGGGAGGCAGGAGUGGGGAAUCUUGCGCAAUGGGCGAAAGCCUGACGCAGCCAUGCCGCGUGAAUGAUGAAGGUCUUAGGAUUGUAAAAUUCUUUCACCGGGGACGAUAAUGACGGUACCCGGAAAAGAAGCCCCGGCUAACUUCGUG
rnacentral:rRNA from 1 species